rnacentral:rRNA from 1 species
UGCGGCCACGGGUUAGCCUGUGGCCACGCCUGUCCGAGGGUCGGCU